rnacentral:misc_RNA from 1 species
UUAGCACUUCCCAAUUUCACAAGUGCCUCCAUCCUCGAACAAUAAGGUUACCGGGCAGGCGGAUCCAAAGCUACUUUCGUAUAUUAGCUGUCGAAAUCGAUCGACUGAGGAUUGUUAGUAUUUCUCAGUUUGCUUCUUUCUUCAUCUGCUUUUUUUUGAGUCAAUCAUUUUCUCGAACAGUUAGCGGGCAUUAGCAUUGCUUUAGUCUUUUGGAAUAAAGAUGGACUGGUGCUGUAUUCCUAUUUUAAUCGGUGGAGCCUGCCUUUUCUAGUUCGUUAAACAAUGGCGGUAUCGAUUUCGAAAAGCAUUUUACGCUCUUUUGGGUCUUUGAACGUUGGUCGUUGCAUUUCUCCAUUUCUCAGUUAUCAGUCAUUUCGAGCUUCUAAUGAUUUGUGUGGCCAUGUCUUUGGGAAUUGCUUAUUUUCUGCAGAAUCUUCUAGCUUUGUCAAGGGUGGGGCAGCUUCCCUUGCGUAUCGUAUAGGAGGUUUUCAACAUCUAUCCUAACUCCUGGGUCAAGUGAUGGUGCAUUCCCCUCUGAUUUAUUAUCCACAAAGGCUGUGUUAACACCGGAGCGCAAAAUAGGCCUUUAUCAGGACUUGGUAAUUCCAGUGACAAAUUUUCACAAUGAGGACAAGGGAUUAAUGGUUUUGGCUGGUGAUGUUUUUGAUGUGCCCAUUAAGAAGCAUAUUAUUCAUCGUGUUGUACGAUGGCAACUUGCAAAACGACAGCAGGGAACACAUUCGACAAAAACAAUCAGUGAAGUUAGUGGGACUGGUAGAAAACCAUAUCAACAGAAAGGUACUGGUCGAGCACGGCAUGGAACAUUGCGUGGACCACAGUUUAGGGGUGGUGCUACAAUGCAUGGCCCUAAGCCUCGGAGUCAUGCUAUUAAAUGCAACAAGAAAGUUAGGCGUCUAGGAUUGAAGAUUGCUUUGACGGCUCGAGCAGCAGAAGGAAAGCUUCUGGUUUUUGAGGAUUUGGAGGUCCCUACACAUAAAACGAAGAAUAUUGUGAACUAUGUUAACCAAAUGGAGAACACCAAGAAGCUACUGCUGGUGGAUGGAGGCCUGAUUAAUGAAAAGCUGAAGUUGGCUACUCAAAAUCUACAUUAUGUCAAUGUACUACCAUCAAUUGGCUUGAAUGUCUACAGCAUCUUGCUGCAUGAUACACUGGUGAUGUCUCGUGAUGCCAUAAACAGGAUUGUUGAACGGAUGCACACUCCAAUUAAUCGAUGAAGUGACAUCAUUUUGUGCUCCAUUCCAUUAGUUUUUGAGUUGAAAGACGACAAGAAGUAUCCAGAAUAAUCUUGUAUUGUUUUCUUCUCCUUAAAAUAUGCAAAAAUGCAGUCAGAUGCCCAUUACCUAGGACUAGUUUACCCUUCAAAUAGGAACAUUUUUAUUUGAAUUUCGGUGAGAGAUCAAAAAUGGCAUGAUGCAGAUUUUGCAUUGGUAUUUCCAGACAGAAAUUUACGCCCCCUUGGUUCUCAGUUUUGGAUGCAUCUUGUUUCAAUCUUCAUUGCACACAUUUCAGAAUACAUUGGCUUUGAAUGAUCCAUGGG